AAAGGUAUAGCUCAAAUGGUAGAGCACAUGCUUAGCACACAUGGGGACCUGGGUUCAAUCCCUGGUACCUCCU
rnacentral:tRNA from 1 species